rnacentral:rRNA from 1 species
GAGUUUGAUCCUGGCUCAGAGCGAACGCUGGCGGCGUGCUUAACACAUGCAAGUCGAACGAGGUUUGUAGCAAUACAAAUACUCGUGGCGAACGGGUGUGUAACACGUGGAUAACCUUCCUUCAGGUGGGGAAUAACCCAGUGAAAAUUGGGCUAAUACCGCAUAACAUCGCGAUGGCACAUGCUGUUGCGUUCAAAGCCGCAAGGCGCCAGAAGAGGGAUCCGCGGCCGAUUAGUUAGUUGGCGGGGUAAUGGCCCACCAAGACGAUGAUCGGUAUCCGGCCUGAGAGGGCGCACGGACACACUGGAACUGAAACACGGUCCAGACUCCUACGGGAGGCAGCAGUGGGGAAUUUUGCGCAAUGGGGGAAACCCUGACGCAGCAACGCCGCGUGGAGGAUGAAAUAUCUUGGUAUGUAAACUCCUUUCGAUGGGGAAGAUUAUGGACGGUACCCUAUA